UGCAGUCGAACGGGCUGUUUAUGCAGCCAGUGGCGGACGGGUGAGUAACACGUAGGUGACCUACCCCAAAGUCUGGGACAACUAGGAGAAAUCUUAGCUAAUCCUGGAUGUGGACAUCUACUUUGGUGGAUGUUUAAAGCUUCGGCGCUUUGGGAUGGGCCUGCGGCGCAUCAGGUAGUUGGUGGGGUAAUGGCCUACCAAGCCGACGACGCGUAGCUGGUCUGAGAGGACGAUCAGCCACAGGGGUACUGAGACACGGACCCCACUCCUACGGGAGGCAGCAGUUAGGAAUCUUCCGCAAUGGGCGAAAGCCUGACGGAGCGAUACCGCUUGAAGGACGAAGCCCUUCGGGGUGUAAACUUCUGAACUCGGGACGAUAAUGACGGUACCGAGGUAAUAGCACCGGCUAACUCCGUGCCAGCAGCCGCGGUAAUACGGAGGGUGCGAGCGUUACCCGGAUUUACUGGGUGUAAAGGGCGUGUAGGCGGUCUCUCAAGUCCGAUGCUAAAGACCGAAGCUCAACUUCGGGGGUGCGUUGGAUACUGUGAGGCUAGACGGUCGGAGAGGGUAGCGGAAUUUCCGGAGUAGCGGUGAAAUGCGCAGAUACCGGAAGGAACGCCAAUAGCGAAAGCAGCUACCUGGACGAUUUGUGACGCUGAGGCGCGAAAGCGUGGGGAGCAAACCGGAUUAGAUACCCGGGUAGUCCACGCCCUAAACGAUGAGUGCUGGGUGUCCGACAUCUGUUGGGUGCCGUAGCUAACGCGUUAAGCACUCCACCUGGGAAGUACGGUCGCAAGACUGAAACUCAAAGGAAUUGACGGGGGCCCGCACAAGCGGUGGAGCAUGUGGUUUAAUUCGAAGCAACGCGCAGAACCUUACCAGGUCUUGACA
rnacentral:rRNA from 1 species